CGCGUAGGCGGCCUUCUAAGUCGAACGUGAAAUCCCUGGGCUCAACCCAGGAACUGCGUCCGAUACUGAAAGGCUUGAAUCCGGGAGAGGGAUGCGGAAUUCCAGGUGUAGCGGUGAAAUGCGUAGAUAUCUGGAGGAAUACCGGUGGCGAAGGCGGCAUCCUGGACCAUUUACUGACGCUGAGGCGCGAAAGCUAGGGAGCAAACG
rnacentral:rRNA from 1 species